rnacentral:rRNA from 1 species
AAUGGGGGCAACCCUGAUCCAGCCAUGCCGCGUGUGUGAAGAAGGCCUUAGGGUUGUAAAGCACUUUCAGCUGUGAAGAUAAUGACAGUAGCAGAAGAAGAAGCUCCGGCUAAAUUCGUGCCAGCAGCCGCGGUAAUACGAAUGGAGCGAGCGUUGUUCGGAAUCACUGGGCGUAAAGGGUGCGCAGGCGGUCAUGAAAGUUAGAAGUGAAAUCCCAGGGCUUAACCCUGGAAUGGCUUUUAAAACUCCAUGACUAGAGUAUUGGAGAGGUUGGCGGAAUUCCGAGUGUAGAGGUGAAAUUCGCAGAUAUUCGGAGGAACACCAAUGGCGUAGGCAGCCAACUGGACAAUUACUGACGCUCAUGCACGAAAGCGUGGGGAUCAAA